AUAAACUCGGCCUUUUGGCUAAGAUCAAGUGUAGUGUCUGUUCUUAUCAGUAUAAUAGCAUUUUUUAGACAGGGUCUUGCUGUAUGUCCUUAGCUGGCCUAGAACUCACUAUUUACACCAGACUGGCUGUAAAUU
rnacentral:snRNA from 1 species